ACGAACGCUGGCGGCGUGCUUCACACCUGCAAGUCGAACGGAAAGGCCCUGCUUUUGUGGGGUUCUCGAGUGGCGAACGGGUGAGUAACACGCGAGUAACCUGCCCUUGACUUUGGGAUAACUUCAGGAAACUGGGGCUAAUACCGGAUAGGAUCUCCUGCUGCAUGGUGGGGGUUGGAAAUUUUCGGCGGUUGGGGAUGGACUCGCGGCUUAUCAGCUUGUUGGUGGGGUAGUGGCUUACCAAGGCUUUGACGGGUAGCCGGCCUGAGAGGGUGACCGGCCACAUUGGGACUGAGAUACGGCCCAGACUCCUACGGGAGGCAGCAGUGGGGAAUAUUGCACAAUGGGCGGAAGCCUGAUGCAGCAACGCCGCGUGCGGGAUGACGGCCUUCGGGUUGUAAACCGCUUUCGCCUGUGACGAAGCGUGAGUGACGGUAAUGGGUAAAGAAGCACCGGCUAACUACGUG
rnacentral:rRNA from 1 species